CAGCCGCCGCGGUAAAACGGAGGGUGCAAGCGUUAAUCGGAAUUACUGGGCGUAAAGCGCACGCAGGCGGUCUGUCAAGUCAGAUGUGAAAUCCCCGGGCUUAACCUGGGAACUGCAUUUGAAACUGGCAGGCUAGAGUCUUGUAGAGGGGGGUAGAAUUCCAGGUGUAGCGGUGAAAUGCGUAGAGAUCUGGAGGAAUACCGGUGGCGAAGGCGGCCCCCUGGACAAAGACUGACGCUCAGGUGCGAAAGCGUGGGGAGCAAACAGGAUUAGAUACCCGCGUAGUCCCUGUCUCUUAUAA
rnacentral:rRNA from 1 species